rnacentral:rRNA from 1 species
AGCGAACGCUGGCGGCAGGCCUAACACAUGCAAGUCGAACGAACCCUUCGGGGUUAGUGGCGGACGGGUGAGUAACACGUGGGAACGUGCCUUUAGGUUCGGAAUAACUCAGGGAAACUUGUGCUAAUACCGAAUGUGCCCUUCGGGGGAAAGAUUUAUCGCCUUUAGAGCGGCCCGCGUCUGAUUAGCUAGUUGGUGAGGUAAUGGCUCACCAAGGCUACGAUCAGUAGCUGGUCUGAGAGGAUGACCAGCCACAUUGGGACUGAGACACGGCCCAAACUCCUACGGAAGGCAGCAGUGGGGAAUCUUGCGCAAUGGGCGAAAGCCUGACGCAGCCAUGCCGCGUGGAUGAUGAAGGUCUUAGGAUUGUAAAUCCUUUCACCGGUGAAGAUAAUGACUGUAGCCGGAGAAGAAGCCCCGGCUAACUUCGUGCCAGCCGCCGCUGUAAAAC